UGUGAUUGUUCUAAUUGUACACGGUCCCUUUUUAAAUAAAUAAAUAAUAAGAAGUGGUUAGAACAUGCUUGUUUUUAUUACAGAGUGCUCCUACUUUACAUACGUUUGACUUCCAAAUCAGCUGAAGCGUCCGGCUCAGGUCACAGUGGUCACCUGAGCCACAAAUUAAACCACAAAAUAAUGUCUGAUAUAUUUAUGUUUUGUUCAAAAUCUCUGCCCAUGUUUGUCUCAUAAAGUUUGUCUCGUGUUUCGCUCUCCUUGUGUGUUCAGUUGUUAGACCAGAUUCACUAGUUUUCUCAGAAAUGCAGUUUUCUGGAUCAUUUAAGUAUGAACAAUAAUCUCCACAUUAUUCCAGAUGCCCUGUCACCUGUAGACCUGCUGACAUCAUCGACAGUACAUAGAAAUAAAGCCUUCGAAACAUAAACAAAACCACGUUAAAGUGCCAUGGGAAGGGCUGGCAGCCUGUGUCCUACACCAGAUAAACAGGUCUGCCCGGUACUUUCCCUCCCAAGACUAAAUCCUCGGCAUUUCGGUCGGGGGCGGGACUUAGCGGUCUAUUGUAACCAUGGCAACCCUCUUUUAAACAGUGUUUUAUGUUCACCUGAGCUGAAAGUCUGAAAAACGAGACAAAGAAUUUAGAGCUAAAAUAAUAACAAACACAUCCAGGCACAUUUCCCCCAAACACAACAGCAGAUCUUAGAUUGACAUGGCACGCUAAGCCCCGCCCCCGGACGAAACGCCAAGUACUGAGAGAGUCGUCAUCAGCGCCUCUCCCAGCGCUCGGCUCACAGAGUCUCACACCGCAGCAGAGCAGGACCCAGACGACCCACAGCACCUCAACCAUGUCGUUCCUCGUGGAUAAACUGGCGAAACAUGCGGGGGACAUAGUGGCUGAUAAAAUAAAGAGUGCUCUGGGAGGAGAUGACGACAAAGACGACAAGGAGGACAAAGAUGGCGGCUUUCUGUCCAUUUUCAAAAGGGACAAAGACGAUGACGACCAUGACAGGCACAAAGGGGGACUCUUCUCGUUCGGGAAAGACGACCACCACCACAAGGACAAGGACAAGGACAAGGACAAGGACAAAGGGAACUUCUUCCAGAAUCUCUUUGACCGAGACGACGACGAUCGCAGAGGAAAGGUCCCCAAGAAAUCAGGCUUCCACGGCCUGUUCUCCGAGCAGGAGGCGGGGGGCGGAGCCAGGUCAGAUGAGGCGGGGGGCGGAGCCUGGUCAGAUGAGGCGGGGGGCGGAGCCUGGUCAGAGGGCGGAGCCGGACCCGAUGCUGGGCCCUGCGCUCACAUGACAGACGGGGAUCUGGAUUUGAUGAGUGACCUGAUGGAAGUGGCCAACGAAAACUCCUGAGACGUUUAGUCCCAAAGUGACCCUCAGUGACCCUCAGCAUCACAAAGAAGAGGACAUUUUGUAUAAACAUUUAAAUCAGAGACAGACGAUAUAUCUGCCCGCACACAGACACACACAAUCACACAAAUGUGCAUUUGCUCUUUUUAGCAAAACCACUCGUCCUUAAAUCGUCAGCACAGGCAGAUAUUUCAUUUUGGCCUAAAGAAUCCACAUUUAAAAUUACAUAAUUUGGGGAAAUAAUCAAAAUGGGCCCAAAAACAUCUACAGUUUUAUCCAUCCAUCAAUUUGUCUGGAGUCUAAACGAUCGGCCUUAAAAACUCACAUCGAUCGACAUCGACCUUAAAAAAAACGUAUCGGUCGAUCUCUAAUUUAAAUAAUAGUAUGAUAUUGUCUUAUAAAAUAACAGUGUGUGUGUUUACUAACAGAACCUUCUCCUGUAACGUGACGUCUGAUGUUUUUGGAUCAUGGUGUAUAGUGGAACAUAAGUAUAAAUAAAUAUAAACUAUUUAAAGAGUUUUCACAUAAAUAUAUAAAUAUAUACUGAUUGUCUCUAAAUGUAUUUUACUUUUUGUAAAUCUGGAAUUAAAACAUUUUAAAA
ensembl:lncRNA